UUCUUUGUUGUUUUCUAUUUAUCUUUCCUCUUGUAAGAUCUGACACAGUUUGUGUUCAGACAGUGUUCAGUAAAUGUAUGUUUGCUUUGCAGGUGCUGAAGAGUUGAAGAAGAAAUUUCUAAGUCUCCACAGUGAUGUUUUGGAUUUGCUCACUGAUGUGGUGACCAGUUUACCUUCAAAGAAACCAAGAGCAGCGUGGUUUCCAAAAGUGAUUUACUCCCGUGUCGUUACUGGUGAGACUCUUGGUGCUCAUAAGACCAUACAAGAAAAGGUGGAGAAAAGAAGCUGGACCUCAACAACUCGGGUGGAGAGGACAGAAAAUGUGCAGGAAUGUGACAUCAUCAUUGUCUUCUGUCCAAUCACAUCUUGUAUUGACUCAGAUGUGGAAGCAGUCAAGAAACAUGCAGCAGUGUCAUCUAACAAUAAACCAGUCAUUGUGGCGCUGAUGCAUCACACCAGAGAUAAGGAGUAUUCACCAGGAGUGAGAAAAUGGUUUGAAGAUCCAAGGUUUGUGUUGGAGGUUCAUGUUCUUUUCCACAACACUCAGAGAGGAUUACUUCAAUGUGCACAAAACGACCAGGCUGUCAGAGAAAUACAAAGAGAGUUAUACAGACACAGUAAAUAGUGAUUGUCUUAAUCAUAGUUUAGUGGUUUUCUUUCCAGCUUUGCAGCCACAAAUUUAUAUCACAUAGUUUGAUCCUUUGCUGUUUUGUAGCCAUGUGGUUACAUCCAUUGUGUGCACCAUGAGUGUGUGGAUGUGUUAAUAGCUAAACUCAUACUGAUAGAUGGCUUCACUCUGAAAAUACAUACAGGUGACCUGCCCUCCACACACUUUGUGUUUGAAGUGGAACCAAUGUAGAUACUCUCCACUCUUAAUCUGUAGGAUACAUGUGUGAACACUUGUGUAACUUAUACAACAGAAAACAAACAUCCUCCAUUUUGUUUCAGCUCUGUUUGAGUUUCCACCCAGGUGGAAGGUGACAAUCUAACAGUUUAAGACUUGAAUAACAUUGCUGAAUUUGGUGCUUUAUUGAUCCACACACCAUUUGUGCAUAGCUAUAUUUGGUGUGCUUGUCUACACAACAGCAGAGGCCAUACUUCACCUAACAGUGAACAAAACUCAGAUAAUUUGUUAACAAAGUAAAAAACUAAAGCUGAUAAUAGGAAAUAUUUAAUUAAAGUGGCAGUAGAGGAGGAGGCAAAACCAACAUACAGACUAACUUACAGAGUACACUAUGUUGCAUUGUAUUAUUAUAUAUUGAUACCAGUUCUUUAGUAAAAUUAAGCAGACAAGCUGAUACAGGACAGUCUUCAUCAUCUGGAAUGGGUUACAUUUGCUACAGUGACCAAAUUAGUGCACACAUAAGCAAUUUUCCCCUGGGAUUAAUAAAGUAUUUCUGAUUGUGACUAUACUGCCCA
rnacentral:lncRNA from 1 species